rnacentral:RNase_P_RNA from 1 species
CACGUAAGCUGGGCGAGCGGAGCGGCAAUAGCACAGGAGGAGAGGAAAGUCCGAACACCGUUUUCCCGCCCGUGGCGGGGGAUAGUUGGUAACGCCAACCGGCUUCAGAGGCAACUUUGGGGUCAGGACAAGUGCAACAGAGAAUAUGUCUAUUCGUGGAUUACAGGGUAUACCCUCUGCGAAUUAAGAGUGAAAAAGCCAGCUAACGAUCUGGCUCGUUUCUAUGGCGACAUAGAAAAAGAGGUAAACUUCUAUCCGGUGCAAUCUCAAGUAGGCCCCCUUGCAGGAACAGGUUUUAAACCUGUUCCUGCAAGGGGGCGGGUUGAGAGCUUGAAUCUGAGCCGCAAGGCACAGAUCUAGAUAGAUGAUCAUCAUCCGUGCUGUCGGGGCAGGUUUAAACCCGCCACGACAGCACGGACACAGAAUUCGGCUUAUUAAUUUGAAUGGGCA